CCUGGCUGGGCUGGGGGGGGUCCCCAGGAGGAGCUGUCUGGUGGGAAGUGUCUCUGAGCUGGAGGAGGAGGAGGAAAAGGGCUGAUGGAAGAGCAGCAGGCACUGAAAAGCUGCUCGAUGCCUCCGAGUCUGGUUGACAGAUAUUAUGAAGAGGUUCAGAGGUGGUUGGGUUCAUCCCAGGGGAAAUCUCCACCACAACGACAGAGCCUGGAGUCCAAUCAAUCUUUUUUCUACAAGCACAACAAGGGGAAACUCUGAGGGACCGAAGAAAAAAACAGUGAUUUUGGAAAUGUCAGAAUAUUUGAACAGGUUCUGAUUGACACGAAGAUCUCGGUGUUGUCAACAUGGAAAUGUUGCUUUUGUGUUUGCUGCAAGACCAGGGCCCGGGGUUCACCUCUGCUCGAGGGAGAGGGAAGUACAGGAUGGCACUUACAGAAAGGGGACUAAGAGAAAGAAAUGGCUAAUUCCUUGUGAUUUGGAACCCCAUGGAGUAAAUGGGGAAAUGUGAUGUGGGGUUAUAAGUGUGGUGUAAUUGUAGGAGCCCUUUGGCUCCUGCAUCUCUGCUGCUCCCUCUGCCCCC